rnacentral:rRNA from 1 species
AAUGAACGUUGGCGGCGUGGAUUAGGCAUGCAAGUCGAGCGCUCAUAGCAAUAUGGGAGCGGCGAACGGCGUAGUAAUGCAUCGGAACGUACCCUUCGGUCGGGGAUAGCCACGGGAAACUGUGGGUAAUACCCGAUGAUAUCUGCGGAUCAAAGGUGAGAUUCCGCCGGAGGAGCGGCUGAUGUGAUAUUAGCUUGAUGGUGGGGUAAUGGCCUACCAUGGCGAUGAUGUCUAGGGGGUGUGAGAGCAUGGCCCCCACGACCGGAACUGAGACACUGUCCGGACACCUACGGGUGGCUGCAGUCGAGAAUCUUCCGCAAUGGACGAAAGUCUGACGGAGCGACGCCGCGUGCGGGAUGAAGGCCCUUGGGUUGUAAACCGCUGUCAGAGGGGAUGAAAUCUCCGGGGGUACUCCCCCGGAGUUGACAGAGCCUCAAAGGAAGCACGGGCUAAGUACGUGCCAGCAG